rnacentral:tRNA from 1 species
AUUUAUUUAGUAUAUUAGUACAUUUGACUUCCAAUCAAAAAGAUUGAUUAUUCAAAAUAAAUA